ACAGACCCAGCAGCGCCUGGGUUUCUACCUGGCUUUCCGCAUCCGACAGCCUCCACAAGGCCCCAGUGAAUGCUGAGAAGCUUUUGCGUGGCUGGUAUCUGGAACACACUGGACCUUGUGGCUGAUGUUGUUUGAGCGACCUUGUCUCCUACAAUCGUGCUAAAUUUCUUGAUAACCUGGAAGUGGAUUUUUUUGGUAAUUGUAGAAUUUUCUACAUACUUAGUCAUGUCAUUUGCAAAUAACGACAGUUUUUCUUCUGCCUUUCCGGGAUGUGUGUCUUUUAUUUCUUGCCGUGGCUUAUUUCAUCGGCUCGUGCAGUGGUGAAAGCAGGUGCGAGCCCACAUCGUCCUCGCCUUGCUCACAGUCUGAGGAGAAAAAGCAAAGUGCCGAGUCUUUUCGUAUCACCUGUGGUACCAGAUGCAGGGGUUUUGUAGAUGCCUUUCAUCAAUUACCGUUCUUUUCAUUCCCAGUUUGCCGCGGUCGGUGGAUUUAUCCAUUUAAUCAUAGACAUCAAAAGUGUUUUUUGAGAUCAGUUGCGGUGACUAUGCUUUUUCCUGUAUCCUGUUAAUACGGUAAUGACAUAUUUGCUUUUCAUAUAUGAAACCAAAUGUGCCGUCCUGCAGUAAACCCUGGGAGUUUUGUAGGAGUCUCCUGAGGGGCUGGCGCGACAAAGGGCCAUGAGCUGAGCCAACAGACAUUUACCCGCUGGCCGUUCUGGAAGCGGGACGUUGGGUGGAGGUGGGGCGUGGCAGAGCCCUGCCCUCUCCUGCCUCCACCAGCUCCCAGCGGUGGGCAUCCUUGGCUUCCUCGGUUUGCAAACUCAUCCUCUGGCUUCUGCCACCAUCACCACACGUGUCCCUGUGUGACUGUCUUUCGGGGACCUCCUCUCUCUGUCUCUGUCUCUUCCACUCUAAGAACACAAGGGCCCUGGCCACAAUGGGUUGGGGACCCACGCUGCUCUAACACGAUCUGAACCUAACCAAGUGCACCUGCAAAGGCCCUAAGUCCAGAUCCCUCCUAUUCACAGGAACCUGCUCUUGGAAUCUCAGCACAUUUUUUGAGGGGACACAAUUCACCCUACAGUGGCCAUGAUCCAUUAUCCUUUUUAUGCAUUUCUGGAUUCAGUCUGUUCAUAUUUUGUGGAGAAGUUUUGCAUUCGUGAGAACUACUGGUCUGUAAUUACAUUUCCUUAGAAUGUGUUGCCCCAGUGUAACACAAGCCAACUGCCCACCGUAACAAAUGAGCUGGGAAGAAGCCCCUCGUCUUCUAUUUUCUGAUCGGGUUUGUGUGUGAUUAAUGUCUUUCUCCCAAAAUGUUUGGUGGAAUUUAGCGCUGAAGCAUCUGGCAUUUCCUUUGUUUUCAAUUUCAAAUUCAACUUCUCUGGUAGAUGUAAGAUAGUAGCUUCUCCUCCUUCUUGUGUCAGCUGUGACAGUUUGUGUCUUUCAAAGAAUCGUCUCCUCAAUCUAAAUUGUCAAAUCUACUGAACACACCAUUGUUCACAAUAUUUCUUUCUUAUCACCUCACAUCCAGAGUGUCUACAGAAAUGCAGACUCUCUGAUUCCUGGUAUUGGCGAUUUGUGGUUUUUCUCUCUUUCCCUUAAUCGGUCCCGAGGUCUAUCAAUUUUUCAAUCUUUUCAAAGCAUCAGCAUUAGGUUUUAUUAAUUUUCUAUAUUAUUAUUUUUCCAUUUUCCAUUUCCCAAAUGUCUUCCUUUAUUAACUCUCUCCACUUGCUUUUUUAGGUUUACUCUGGUUUUCUUUGCUUUGUAACGUGGGGAACUUAUCCAUUGAUUUUAGACCUUUCUUCCUUUAUGAAAUAAGCAUUCAUAACUAUGAAUUUCCCUUUACAUACUGCUUUAGCUACAUCCCAUAGAUUUUGUAUUUCUAUUGUCAUUUGAUUUAAAUGCUUCCCAAUUUUCUUUGUGUAGUGGGUGGAGUGGAGUGACAGAUUUGCGAGCUGUUUGUUUUAGCAAGUAAACCUCCCCCCAAUUAAUACCUUCCAUGGUGUCUAUGCUACCUACCAGCUUCAUUCCACAUGGCAAAAAUACUUCUUUCUACAGAGGUGGGCAACUCGAAAACACUAUCCAAUGGAAAGUUUUUGUCAUUUAAAAGAUAGAGGUAGGGAGUUCCCAUUGUGGCGCAGUGGAUUACGAAUCCGACUAGUAUCCAUGAGGAUGCAAGUUUGCUCCCUGGCCUCCCUCAGUGGGCUAAACAUCUGGCAUUGCCGUGAGCUGCUGUGUAGGUUGUUGCAGAUGCAGCUCGAAUCCCAAGUGGCUGCGGCUGUGUACAGGCCGGCAGCUGGAGCUCCGAUUCGACCGCUGGCCUGGGAACUUCCAUAUGCCACAGGUGCAGUCCUAAAAAAGGAAAAAGAAAAGAAAAGAAAAAGGGGGGAGACAAAUUUCUCCACCUGUCGGGGGAGGACUGGUCGCCUCUGGCCUCCCAGUCCACAGUCAUCACAUCCUGCAGUCCUUUUCUUCAAAAUGACACUCAGGAAAGCUCACGAUCAUCCCGGCCUGUGUCUCUGCAUCCCCAGGUCCAGUACUGUGGCCAAGAGAACAUCACCUCCCCAGCCCUGGGCGCACAGACAGGGACCUGGGCCAACAGCACAACGGAAGCGUAGGUUCCUGACACAGGUGGGUGCUGGGCAGGUAGAGACUAUGGGUGACUUUCAGCUCAGUUUGCAGCUGCCUGCGCCUCCCUGAGACAAAACCACCAGAGGUGGACAUACAGGCCCUGCAGGUGCCUGCAGGACUCUGGCUGUCGGAAGCCAGACAAAGGGCCCAGGCCAGGCGCUCCAGAGCUCCUCAGCUGCCCACCCGCAUCGCCGUGACCGCCAUCCUCUCCGCCGUCUCCUGAGGCGCCGCAGCGAUGCCGGCACCUGCGCCAGGGAGCAGCCGUGAGGCCUGAGUGAUGACACGGGGCCACACCCACAGGCGUGCAGGGCACAAUGCUGGCUGUUACUGUGAUGCACGCCUGCGUGUUUCCCAGGCUCAUGAGACCCAGAAAUCCUGCCCUGAUGAACAUCGUGUGAGACUAAUGCUUCCUGGAAUGUAUUUUUGAAAAAUCUGAACAAUGGGAAAACUAAUGGAGUUUGGAGUUGAACUCCAGAUCUUUGGGCGGCUUCCUGCCAUUUUUGGUGUGGGUGGUAUAUUUCAUUAAGCAAAUUUUUUUGUUUUUGGAAAGAAUGCAUGGGUGGUAAAAUACUUCUUUUGCUCUCAAAGUUAAACUGAGUUUGGCUGAGCU
rnacentral:lncRNA from 1 species